UACGUAGGGGGCUAGCGUUGUCCGGAUUUAUUGGGCGUAAAGAGCGUGUAGGCGGCCAGGUAGGUCUGGUGUGAAAACUCGAGGCUUAACCUCCGAGAUGUCAUCGGAAACCAAUCUGGCUAGAGUCCGGAAGAGGAGAAGUGGAAUUCCGUGGUGUAGCGGUGAAAAUGCGCAGAUAUCAGGAAGAACACCAUGGCGCAAAGCGCUCUCUGGGACGGUACUGGACGCUGAAGACGCGAAAGCGUGGGGAGCGAACAGG
rnacentral:rRNA from 1 species